UUCGCUGGUUUCGCGCAAGCUCACACAUGUGAGCGCGGAGCACAGAGAAGCAGUCAGAGCUACAGGCUACAGUGAGGCUAAAAACAGAGAUCAUAUGACGUUUUUCCAAACAACUUUUUAUGUCGCGGCUGCAGCACACUUGGAUCACUACGGAUGAGCAGUAUGGAGAUACUUUGUGGAUUCAAUUUUGCGUUCUUGGAAGUUAGUCUGGGGCGCCGUCUGCCAUUAUGUGUGCUGGCCACUCCCCCCACGAUCUCAAGGGAUGUGAGCCCUCUAAAACUUCACCAGGGCCUCCAUCGGCAUAUGGCAUUGUACUCAAAACUGGGAGGGUCAGGGUGCUGAAACAUUCGUCCUUGCCAUCCAUUGUCUCACUGCCUCUUCAAUGUGUCAGAGUCAGGAUCGGGGGGAGAAAGAGAGGGCAGAUACAGGGGUGACACAGGACACACCUGAGAGUCGCCCCCCUGCAGCUCUGGGAAAAGUGCUUCGUCUGAGCCAGGGAGCCCAUCGAAUAAAGGCUCUGUGUCCUGCCUUCAAGCUGUCUCCAGUGGAACCCAGAGCAUGACUGCAGAGCUGGCAACGACUUCAAAGAUUCCCCACAGAGAAGAGGCCCCCCUGGCAUCCAGAUGCAACAAAGCGGACCCUGCGCAGUAUCACAACAAGCGCAGGUCCGAGCAUGCGAAAGACAGAGGAUUAAUUGGAUCCACCGGUGGGGAGGCGAGCAAGCAAAGACAAAGCCGAGGCUUCCUGAGGAGAUUUGGCCAGAUGAAACACCUUUUCAGAAAAACAAACACUGAGGAUACCGCAGACUCUGAGCGUCCCUCCAGUGCUGAGGCUCCGGACGACUUCCUGGGAGGUGCCACCGCUGCCUCACAUGUUCCCACAUUUCAUACAUUGUCCAGUGAACCUGGAGAGGAGGAGGAGUCAGGUGACCUGUUAAGAUCUCCUCCUCUCUCUCACAUCUUCAAGUCUUUCAGAUCACAGUGAAGAACACCAGCAGUUUCACCUGUUAGUAGUGAUGGAUACACUCUCAAUCCUCUCCUGGCGCAAACAAGGUGGGCUCACGUGCUACCUACCACUGACAGACUCAAUAUGGGCUGUGUGAUGUGGCCGAGGCUGACACACCAACAUCUCCCUGAGCUUCAGUGAGCCAACAUCACAGACACGCCUGAUCUCUCCACUCAGGAGCAUCUUUUGGGCGGGGUGCUCUCUGACAUUGAGGAAGACCACUGCACUACUGACAGGCUGCAGUUUUCUGCUGAGGGUGCCUCUGGACAGCGAGAUAAUCUGAACAUGAGUGACCUGAUGCCGUUCAGGGAUAUCAGAGAACGAGCACACGUUCAAGAAUGUCAAGCAGUGAAGGGAGGGGCUGUUGUUGCCCAAAACACCCAGUCUCUAAACAACAGCAACAUAGAGACUGUAUGCACAAUCAAACAAAGGUAAUCAUAUGCUAGCAAAGUCAUUAUUUAAGAGAGGACCAGAUGUCAGAUCUGCAACAGUGGCGGUUCAUUCACCUCGACUGCCUGAAGGCAUGGAUCUGCUCAAGAAUCGAGUUAGGUUAGUAGAUAGCCACAGGUAAACUGAGACAGAGUCAGCCAGUGGUCAAAAUCAGGUGGUAAAAAAGAUGAUGGCCGCACUUUAUGACAGCACUUUUGCUCCCACCUGUUUUCAGACUGACGACAUCCCUGUUUCUACGAGGAGAAACAGACGUAAUCAGAGCUGGUAACAUAUUCCAACCCACUCCCCAGGGUUUUGCUGUGGCUGCUGCUUUUCUGAUGAGAAAGGAUGAGACUCAGAGGAUUCAGAGAGAGGAAGAACCCCUCACCAGUCACCAGAGUCACCUGACACUUGAUCCUCAGCCAAACCCUUAUUUUUAACAUCCUGG